rnacentral:rRNA from 1 species
AUUGAACGCUGGCGGCAGGCCUAACACAUGCAAGUCGAGCGGCAGCGGGAAAGUAGCUUGCUACUUUUGCCGGCGAGCGGCGGACGGGUGAGUAAUGCCUGGGAAAUUGCCCAGUCGAGGGGGAUAACAGUUGGAAACGACUGCUAGUACCGCAUACGCCCUACGGGGGAAAGCAGGGGACCUUCGGGCCUUGCGCGAUUGGAUAUGCCCAGGUGGGAUUAGCUAGUUGGUGAGGUAAUGGCUCACCAAGGCGACGAUCCCUAGCUGGUCUGAGAGGAUGAUCAGCCACACUGGAACUGAGACACGGUCCAGACACCUACGGGAGGCAGCAGUGGGGAAUAUUGCACAAUGGGGGAAACCCUGAUGCAGCCAUGCCGCGUGUGUGAAGAAGGCCUUCGGGUUGUAAAGCACUUUCAGCGAGGAGGAAAGGUUGAUACCUAAUACGUAUCAACUGUGACGUUACUCGCAGAAGAAGCACCGGCUAACUCCGUGCCAGCCGCCGCGGUAAGAC